rnacentral:rRNA from 1 species
UACGUAGGGGGCAAGCGUUGUCCGGAAUCAUUGGGCGUAAAGAGCGUGUAGGCGGCCUGGUAAGUCCGCUGUGAAAGUCCAGGGCUCAACCCUGGAAUGCCGGUGGAAACUGUCAGGCUCGAGUCCGGAAGAGGCGAGUGGAAUUCCUGGUGUAGCGGUGAAAUGCGCAGAUAUCGGGAGGAACACCAAUGGCGAAGGCAGCUCGCUGGGACGGUACUGACGCUGAGACGCGAAAGCGUGGGGAGCAAACAGG